rnacentral:rRNA from 1 species
UACAGAGGUCUCAAGCGUUGUUCGGAUUCAUUGGGCGUAAAGGGUGCGUAGGCGGCUUUAUAAGUCAGUGCUGAAAUAUCCCGGCUUAACCGGGAGGGUGGCAUUGAUACUGUAGGGCUUGAGUAAAGUUGAGGUUGGCGGAAUUGACGGUGUAGCGGUGAAAUGCUUAGAUAUCGUCAAGAACACCGAUUGCGAAGGCAGCUAACUAAGCUUUAACUGACGCUGAGGCACGAAAGUGUGGGGAUCAAACAGG